GCGGAGGGAUCAUUACACAACAAAAUAUGAAGGCCUGGCUUUCGCGGCCGGCUGAAGUAUUUUUUUCACCCAUGUCUUUUGCGCACUUGUUGUUUCCUGGGCGGGUUCGCCCGCCACCAGGACCAAACCAUAAACCUUUUUUUCUUAUGCAGUUUCCAUCAGCGUCAGUAAAAACAAUGUAAUUAUUACAACUUUCAACAACGGAUCUCUUGGUUCUGGCAUCGAUGAAGAACGCAGCGAAAUGCGAUACGUAGUGUGAAUUGCAGAAUUCAGUGAAUCAUCGAAUCUUUGAACGCACAUUGCGCCCUUUGGUAUUCCAAAGGGCAUGCCUGUUCGAGCGUCAUUUGUACCUUCAAGCUUUGCUUGGUGUUGGGCGUUUUUUUGUCUCCCUCUUUCUGGGAGACUCGCCUUAAAACGAUUGGCAGCCGGCCUACUGGUUUCGGAGCGCAGCACAUUUUUUGCGCUUUGUAUCAGGAGAAAAGGACGGUACUCCAUCAAGACUCUACAUUUUUCACUUUUGACCUCGGAUCAGGUAGGGAUACCCGCUGA
rnacentral:rRNA from 1 species